CCUUCGAUAGCUCAGUUGGUAGAGCGAUGGACUGUAGUGUUAGAACAAGUACACUCAGCUAUCCAUAUGUCGCUGGUUCAAAUCCGGCUUGAAGGA
rnacentral:tRNA from 1 species